rnacentral:tRNA from 1 species
AAUUAUAAUAGUUUAAAGUCUAAAACUUUUCAUUUUCACUGAAACAAUAUUUAUUUUAUAAAUUUAUAAUUA